GAUCAUAUAGCUCAGUUGGUAGAGCAUGAGACACUUAAUCUCAAGGUUGUGGUUUCGAGCGCCACGUUGGGCA